rnacentral:rRNA from 1 species
GAUGAACGCUGGCGGCGUGCCUAAUACAUGCAAGUCGAGCGAACAGAUGAGGAGCUUGCUCCUCUGACGUUAGCGGCGGACGGGUGAGUAACACGUGGAUAACCUACCUAUAAGACUGGGAUAACUUCGGGAAACCGGAGCUAAUACCGGAUAAUAUAUUGAACCGCAUGGUUCAAUAGUGAAAGACGGUUUUGCUGUCACUUAUAGAUGUAUCCGCGCCGCAUUAGCUAGUUGGUAAGGUAACGGCUUACCAAGGCAACGAUGCGUAGCCGACCUGAGAGGGUGAUCGGCCACACUGGAACUGAGACACGGUCCAGACUCCUACGGGAGGCAGCAGUAGGGAAUAUUCCGCAAAGGGCGAAAGCCUGACGGAGCAACGCCGCGUGAGUGAUGAAGGUCUUCGGAUCGUAAAACUCUGUUAUUAGGGAAGAACAAAUGUGUAAGUAACUAUGCACGUCUUGACGGUACCUAAUCAGAAAGCCACGGCUAACUACGUG